GCACCCGCGGAGGAUGAGGCAUCGCCUUCUUUGGUUUUUGGCGUCGCGGGUCGUCGGGUGAUGUACCAUCUCGUGAUCAGCAAUUUUGCUGAUUCAAAAUCAUUC
rnacentral:sRNA from 1 species